AACAAUAAAUGUGAAAUAAAAGCAAACAGAGAACAAACAAAAGAAAAUUAAAAGCCUACCAAAAUCAAUUGGUGAGAAAGCAAACUAAACGCUAGAAGAACCAAGAAAAAACUCACAGCCUCUCCCUACUGAAAAUCACAACACUAAAGCCAGGAAAAUCUCCUAAUUUGGAUUAUAUGACAUUGAGCGAACACCAAAGGAGAAAAACAUAAUGCUAAGCAGGAUAAAAUCGAUAAACUCCUGCUUCCAAAAGCCAACCCGAGGACAGAUUAAUCCGGCGGAUCCACCCAUCAUAUGUUGGCAGCAACAACAACUUCGACCUCCACCAGAAUCUCCUCCACACAGAAAUGAUACAUCCCCAAAUUAAAACCUACGACAGCAAGAAGACCGGUCCUCAUGCGUGGAGCAAAUAUUCUUGAUUACAAUCAAAGUGUUGCCCUCAAACACCACGUACCUUAAGCCCAGAUCAUCGGCAAAAGAAACUGUUUGGAUAAACGCCUUUACUUCCGCAACAAAAGCAUUAGGCAAAGAAAUAUUUAGAGAUUGCCACACCGCAGCUACCAUUAUACAAUCGCGAACUACAUGGGUAAUAGUUUCUAGAAUUAUACUGCAUUUAGGACAAAACAUAGUAAAAGAAAUCCUUUUGUUGAAGAGAUUAGAAAGAGCAGGAAUAUAGUUUUGACAGAAUCUCCAGUUUGUAAUACGGGUUUUAAGAGGCAUUGUUGCUUUCCACAAUUUUGUAUAGAAACAUUAUUUGGGUUA